rnacentral:rRNA from 1 species
GUGGGGAAUCUUAGACAAUGGGGGAAACCCUGAUCUAGCCAUGCCGCGUGAGCGAUGAAGGCCUUAGGGUUGUAAAGCUCUUUCAGCUGGGAAGAUAAUGACUGUACCAGCAGAAGAAGCCCCGGCUAACUCCGUGCCAGCAGCCGCGGUAAUACGGAGGGGGCUAGCGUUGUUCGGAAUUACUGGGCGUAAAGCGCACGUAGGCGGACCGGAAAGUCAGAGGUGAAAUCCCAGGGCUCAACCUUGGAACUGCCUUUGAAACUCCUGGUCUUGAGGUCGAGAGAGGUGAGUGGAAUUCCGAGUGUAGAGGUGAAAUUCGUAGAUAUUCGGAGGAACACCAGUGGCGAAGGCGGCUCACUGGCUCGAUACUGACGCUGAGGUGCGAAAGCGUGGGGAGCAAACAGGAUUAGAAACCCCAGUAGUCC